GAUGAACGCUGGCGGCGUGCCUAAUACAUGCAAGUCGAGCGAACAGAUGAGGAGCUUGCUCCUCUGACGUUAGCGGCGGACGGGUGAGUAACACGUGGAUAACCUACCUAUAAGACUGGGAUAACUUCGGGAAACCGGAGCUAAUACCGGAUAAUAUAUUGAACCGCAUGGUUCAAUAGUGAAAGACGGUUUUGCUGUCACUUAUAGAUGGAUCCGCGCCGCAUUAGCUAGUUGGUAAGGUAACGGCUUACCAAGGCAACGAUGCGUAGCCGACCUGAGAGGGUGAUCGGCCACACUGGAACUGAGACACGGUCCAGACUCCUACGGGAGGCAGCAGUAGGGAAUCUUCCGCAAAGGGCGAAAGCCUGACGGAGCAACGCCGCGUGAGUGGUGAAGGUCUUCGGAUCGUAAAACUCUGUUAUUAGGGAAGAACAAAUGUGUAAGUAACUAUGCACGUCUUGACGGUACCUAAUCAGAAAGCCACGGCUAACUACGUG
rnacentral:rRNA from 1 species